AUCCUCCGGCCAACUGCUCCCGUCGCCAUAGCAACCGAGCUUCCCAGCUCCAUGCAACUCCGAGGCCGGACUCCCAGAUUAAAUUUUAGGAGUUUCCAGUAGGGCAACUGUGCAAGAUGGUGAGGUCAGGACGACGCUAGCCUCGAGAUUGUCUGGCUUCCUUUAACUCGCUUUGCCCCCGCUCUGUUGCUUCUUGGAGACCCUGUGGUCCGAGGUAUUGUCUAGAAACUCAGAAUCCCUGGAAUCCCGCCCACGAUUUCAACACCUUUCAAAAUUUCUUCGAUCCUGGUUAACCUAAAAUGGAGAACUGGCUCUCUCAAGAGACAUCCCAUGCCAUUUUCUUCUCCCUUCUACUCUGCCCCAAAUACUUCCUUAUGUGAAGUCAAAUUUAUCUCCCCGACUCGCAUCUUUUGCUUCCGUCUUGAGUCCUCCUCCCAGGGACUUCCUAAACCAGUGGGCUCACUUCUCCAAGAGAUCCUUUAUCUAACUGUAGUCGGGAUUAAUGUCUUUCUAAACCGUCUUCUCGGCCUAAUCAGCCCCAGUUCUUUCAAAUUGUCCUUCACUGAUGAACCCUAUGACUUCUAAAGAUCCAAACAGACAGAGAGAGAGAAGUUCAAUGGAGAACUCUGGAAAAUCCUAGAGGGAGCUACUUAGUGAUAGGAGCAGAGCCAGAUGGAUUGCCUUGAGAGCCAGAGCAGAGAAUUAAGCUUUUGUGCGUGUGUAAAAACAAGAAGGGACAAUGAGCAUGUAAUCACAUCUCUGACAGGGUGAGUAGCAUCUUGGGUUGUGUAUAGGAUGGUAGAAGUCUUGUCUGUUUUAGAAUCUGACGCAUCUGGGUUCAGUCCUUAACAUCUCCCCCUUGUUACCCUGACCCCUCUCCUUCCCGCCCCUCUCCUUUCCAUUUCUUCAUCCCUUCGUUCCUUCCACAAACUUUCUUGAACUCUACUUUGUUUUAGGUGUUAUGUACGCUUCCCGGAUAAAAGUUGUACAGGAUGUGUUCUGUGUCUUCAAGGAGGGUGGGGUCCGGUGGAGGCAGGAGCUAACCCGAUAGACAAUGACACUACGGCGUGGUCAGUGCUUUGGUCUAGAAGGUCAGAAGAGGGUGCAAGAGCAAAAGGACUGUUAAUCACAAUGGGUUUUGUGACGAGGUGGUUGGGAGUGGGCGUGUGGGAGCAGAGUGCUUGCCAGAAAAGGGGCCACCAGCUAAGCGGCAGGCAGUUGAACAUAGGUAAAAAUGGAGGAAAGGCUGCAGACAGGACUGAGACAGCAGUUGGCGGAGCCAAGAAGAGCUCCACAUGAUUGGAAAGAUCAGUGUCAGCAGGGGAGCAGAAGGAAAGGCGGGCAGAAACCAGAUCGCGACGGGCCUGGUGUGUUAAGAUAAGGAUUUGCUAUUAUUCGGAAAGCAUACGGAAAGCUCCAAGGAGAUUUUUAUUCUUGAAAGUUAAGGAAAGUAACUGCUAGAUUUAGGGCAUCAAGAUCAUUUCUGCAUUUGGCUCUGUGAGCUUGGGCACCAUAACCUUUAUGAGCUACGUCCGUAAAAUCUGUAAGCAGACUAAUCUAGAACCUUCCUUGCUGAGCUACUGUAAAAAGAAGACAGUGGCUAUAGGGCACCUAGUACAGUAUCUGGGUUUAUAGUUAUGAUAUGGGGGAUAUCUCCAAAAACAAAGAACCGUGGCUUGGCAAUCAGGGAGAAUGCUGAACUGGAAGUAAGGUCUGUCUUUAAACCUGGAUUCUGCCGCGUCCUGGCUCUAUGACCUUGAGCAUGUCCCUUGACUUCUCUGAGCAAACAAACGGUAUCAACUUCACAAGGUUAAGUCAGGGUAGUGCCUGCGACAGAAGUCUCUUUUUUCUUUUCCUUUUGGGGCUGCAGGGCUUUUGGACGUCAACCAUCUGCUUUAUGAGGAAGACCAUCCUGGGGUGGGAUACCAUGCUCUGAAGAAUAAUCUCUGGAAUCCUGAUUAGCAAAGCAGCAUAUCAGGAGCACCAUCUGGAGGAUCAGAUGGGGAGGCUGCCCGCGGGCUGCAAUUGGAGGGGCCUGGACAGCGGAAGUGUGGAAGAUAUGGAAGUGUGGCUAUCAGUCUCCUUGAGGAGCAUCCCAGCUGAGUGCCACGUGAGCCAUCAGGGAGCCUUACCUCCCGGGACCGAAUUGUUACCCCAUGUUAUCGUCUCCAGUGCUCUCAUGCCAUCAGAUCAGUCCGGUAGUUUUUAAGCUUAAAAAAAACAACAACAUCACAUUAGAAACAUCUUCUUCUUAAGAUGUCCUUAUGAAGCAAUGACACCCCUUUGGAAAACAAGCCCAAAAAUCUCUAAAGUCAAAUAAAAAAAAUAUAUGCCUGCCCUGCUUGGAAAUUAGAAUGUGGUCCUGAGGUCUUACCCACUAGCUUCUCUCCCCAUAUGCAAAUCCAUCCCUGAGGGCUUCACAGAGCAAGAGUGAAAACUAUAGCUCUAGUCCAACUCCUCCAAUUUGUAGAUGAGGAAACUAGGGAUUAAGAGAUUGUCCAAGGGUCAGUAAUUAGGGAUCGAGUUGGGACUGAAAUCACAUUCUUCUGGUCCUGAUCUCAGUGCAUUAUCCUAGCCCUGGACUCACAGCUAUUUGCUUUCAGAAGAGGGGUGGCUACAGUGAUGUCGUGUCUCGUGGGCUGGGAGAUACAAGAAGCAGUGGGAGAAUUUGAGGAACCUGAUGCCCUCUCUUCUGUAGGAGCCCUAGUGGAAGCCUCCAGACCAGGUCCUUCCUGGGGGCAAAAUACACAUCUUUUGAGUUGGGAUGAAAUGCUGUGGUUUCAGGCAAGAGUCUCAGGGAGCCCACAGUCUACCUACCCUCCACCUCCAGUGUGAGACAUUCCCUGUGUCAACGAGAGUAGGACUCUGAGGAGCCGCCUUCCCCCAGGAAUGUUCUAUGCUUCUGGAAAUGGUCUCUGAGCUUUUAGGCUCAGGCCGAAAAACCCCAAAUUGCUAGUUUACUGUUUAUACAAGCAAAUUCAUAAUAACUUGCUGCAUCUCUCAAGUGUAAAAGAGGACCAGAGCAAAGCCUGCUUGGGAUGCUUGUUGAACUCUUAGGUUUCCCUCCCAAAGAACAACUCGUUUGGCACAUUAAUAUUUAUAACAGUAAAAUAAGAUAAAAUAAAAUAAAAUAAAAUAAAAUAAAAUAAAAUAAAAUAAAACAUCAUAACUUGAAGAUUUUUCCUGAGCCUCUGGUUGUCCCAAAGCAUUCAGUGAGGUCCUUCGUUUCUUCUUAACCUUACCGGGUCCCCUGUAUGUGGAGUGUCCUGAACCAUCAAGAAACAAAGUUGCCUGCUGAAAUCAUCACUGCUGUGACGAGACAGUGGUACUCCCCACACAUUCCAUCUGCUCCGUCGCACUUGCCAAAUCCCUUGCAUUUAGGGGGGGCCACGAGGCUAGUUCUGACUAAUGAAAUGUGAGCUGAGAUGGUGAAAAGCCUAUGUGCAAAUCUCCAGGCUCUCACUGCCACCAGCACUUUCCAGAUGGUGAAGCCCCCAUCAGCCUAAGACCUGAGUGAUUCUGAUAAGCAAAGUACCAUCCCACAAUGGACCUGUGCUGGACAUAUAUCAUGAAUGAAGCAGAAACCUUUGCUGUUUUAAGCCACUGAGAUUUCAUGGCUAAUCUGUUAUGUAGCAUAACCUCGCUAAUCGUGACAAAUACCGAGGAAUUUGGGUUCAAGGCAAGGAAGCCCGAGGACCUGCUCUGGCGGGAGCUACCCUGGUCGGUCCCGGGCUUUCAAGCAGCGGUGUGCUGGGGCGGGCUCAUGCCAGCCUUGAGCAGCCGAUGGAUCGCGCACACCUUGUCCCCACCUUGCAUUCAGUGACGUUGCCCUGGUAACUUGUGAUUGGCUCUGGCAGGAGUGGUCACUCCACAGAAACCGGCAAAGGCUACAGGUCAUGUCAUUUCUCACCCACCCUGGCAAACUGGCUGCUAUACAUUUACCAGCAUUCCACUGGUUUCAAGUCUCUGCAGAGACAGUCAAGGUGGGGAGUAGGAAAUGGGAAAGGAGGGCCUUUGGGAAAUAAGAACCCUUUCAGCCCUUAACUCUUUCUUACAUUUUCUGUAAGAGAAAAUUUGGUAGAGAGACACUCUGCGACUUGCGGUUUUCUCUACAUGCUAGGAUAAAGUGCUGGAAUCCUGUCUUUGACAGCAUAUCCUAAACCUCAGGAUUCUGAGCUCAUUUUAUCUCAGCUGUUACCUUUGCACAGGAUAGGAAUGCCAGUGUCUCCUUCCACCGUGAGUCGGCAACCCCCAGCAGGGCCUCUGUGCCUUUCGGAUUUUCAAGGGAGCAGCAGAAACUGGCCGCUUUCAUUCUGACUUAGCUACUUGCAUGCAUUUCUUUCCCCUUUCUCACCAAAAUCCUUCGUGAAUACAAACCAAACAGAUUCAAGGUUGAUUUGCUGGAAGUCUGAUGUUAAAUUUA